UACGUAGGGUGCAAGCGUUGUCCGGAAUUAUUGGGCGUAAAGAGCUCGUAGGCGGCUUGUCGCGUCGGCUGUGAAAACCUGGGGCUCAACCCCGGGCCUGCAGCCGAUACGGGCAAGCUAGAAUUCGGUAGGGGAGACUGGAAUUCCUGGUGUGGCGGUGAAAUGCGCAGAUAUCAGGAGGAACACCGGUGGCGAAGGCGGGUCUCUGGGCCGAUACUGACGCUGAGGAGCGAAAGCGUGGGGAGCGAACAGG
rnacentral:rRNA from 1 species